GCCCCUGUAGUUCAACGGAUAGAAUACCUCCCUUCUAAGGAGGGGAUCCAAGUUCGAUUCUUGGCGGGGGUA
rnacentral:tRNA from 6 species